UCCUUGGCGCUCUCUGAGUUUGCUUGUUUUCUUGCGUACAUUUCAUUACCCAGACCAGGUAAAAUCAUAAGUGCUAGUAAGGAGAAAGAAGUACAAUUCUAGUGGCUUGCCUGGUUAGAAAUAACUUUUGAAAUGACUGAAUAUUUUAGUUUAAUACAUUUUGUUGUAAUUAGUAUUUGUAUUAUAUAAUUGUUUAGCAGAUAAUGAUCUCUGAUAUUUUUUUCAGGUAUACCCAGUUACCUGGUUUGAAUUACAGAUAUAAAACAAUCUUAUAUUUGAUUAUUAGAAAUAUUGAAAGAUAACCAAUGUAUUUCUUUUUAUUGGCCUAUUCUAGUUAUUAUUUAGAUUUGUAGGAGACAUCUUCAAUUGAAGAACACUAUGUACUGUUUAUUUUACUUUGCAUAAAGUUUUUACUUACUGGAAUUUAAAUGAUUAUUCUAUUUUAAUGUUUUUGUUCCUUACUAUAAGCAACUCAGAGAAGCUUUUGUGUCAGAGAAACCAUAAAAAUUAUUUGACAGCGGUCUGUGCAAAAUAUGUUUGAAAGUAAUUGUUGCUGAUCUCGGUUUGGAUACAGCAUGUAUUGAAGUUCAUGUGGGAAUCUCAUGUUAACUAGUAAGAAAUAUGCUGGCUUGACUAUAAUUGUUAUUCUCAUCUCAUUUAUAGUACGCCUCUUCUAACUGUAAAUAUAUGAUAUGCCAAGGAAAAGUUUAUUUAUUUAUUUUGGUUCUUUGUUUUAAUUGACUUGCAUUGGAAUGUUAAUCUGAAAGUAUCUCACAAAAUUUUAAGCAAGGAUCUUUAAGAAUAACUCAAGAUAAUACUAAAUGUUAAAAUAAGGUACAUCCAUUUGAAAAUACAUCUCAUAUUUGAGUGGUGCUUGGAAAUACACAAUGUACAGAUUUCUUGAUAAGAUUAUUAAUUCCAAGACUUCUUGUUGAUAGAGAAGAUGUAAUCAUUCCAAAUAGGAUGGAAACCCUUAAGGAAGGGGUUUCAGGAGAUUGUAAUUAGGAGGAAAGAACUAAACAUUAUGUCUUAGAUUUAUUCUUAUAUUAAAAUACAACUAGGGCUCAUCCUGCUUGCUAUGAAAUGAAGGUGUUCCUGAAAGUGGUUUCCAUAUUAAAAUAUAAUUUUUCUGCUAACUUUAUAAAGACUCUUCCAGGCUAGCAAUAAAGAGUACCUAUAGAAAAAUAAUUGAAUCAGUUUUGGUCAGGGUGAUAAAUCUGUUUAGCUGUAGAUUCAAUCCAGCAAAUCUGUUAUGGGACUACCCUUCUGUCCAAUUCCUCGGCAUUGCAUUAUUUGUCUAAUGCCAGAUAUUAUACACAAGGCAUAUACUACAAAUAAAGCAGCAGACAGUCUUUAAAGUCCAAUGGAUUGAGCUACAUUUCCCUCUAGAAAUAUGAAAACCUAAUUCUCAAUAUAUGGUAGACACCUAGCUGGGCUGAGAUGCCAGGAAUGGUGUAGUGACAGAUUGGGCUGAGAGAUAUAGGUAACUGUUCUGCAAAUUAAAGACAAAGCAGUUACUGCCUUCUUCUUAACACUUGUGUAUCAGAGGUGGUAU